GAUGAACGCUGGCGGCGUGCCUAAUACAUGCAAGUCGAGCGAACAGACGAGGAGCUUGCUCCUCUGACGUUAGCGGCGGACGGGUGAGUAACACGUGGAUAACCUACCUAUAAGACUGGGAUAACUUCGGGAAACCGGAUCUAAUACCGGAUAAUAUAUUGAACCGCAUGGUUCAAUAGUGAAAGACGGUUUUGCUGUCACUUAUAGAUGGAUCCGCGCCGCAUUAGCUAGUUGGUAAGGUAACGGCUUACCAAGGCAAUGAUGCGUAGCCGACCUGAGAGGGUGAUCGGCCACACUGGAACUGAGACACGGUCCAGACUCCUACGGGAGGCAGCAGUAGGGAAUCUUCCGCAAUGGGCGAAAGCCUGACGGAGCAACGCCGCGUGAGUGAUGAAGGUCUUCGGAUCGUAAAACUCUGUUAUUAGGGAAGAACAAAUGUGUAAGUAACUAUGCACGUCUUGACGGUACCUAAUCAGAAAGCCACGGCUAACUACGUG
rnacentral:rRNA from 1 species